GCCAGACAGCUAGCCUAACCACCAAAAUAACUUGACAUCAUAGAUAAAAAGGCAUGACUUAACACGACAAACCAAACCAUUUUCCUCAUCUUAGUAUGGGAGACAGAAAAGAUUCAAAAAGAGCAAUAGAGAAAGUACCGCAAGGGAAAGAUGAAAGAGAAGUGAAAUAACUCAUAUAAGCACAAAAAAACAGGGGUUAAACCCCGUACCUUUUGCAUCAUGAUUUAGCCAGCACUACUAAGCAAAGAGAACUUUAGUUUAAUACCCCGAAACCAGGUGAGCUACCCCGAGGCAGCCUACGCAUAUAGGGCUAACCCGUCUCUGUGGCAAAAGAGUGGAAAGAACUCCGGGUAGAAGUGACAGACCUAUCGAACCUGGUAAUAGCUGGUUGUCCAGGAAAUGAAUAGAAGUUCAGCCUAGUAUCCUCCACACUUAACUAUACGAAAAUUGAGGAAGAAGCACUAGAGUUAAUCAAGAGGGGUACAGCCCCUUUGAUUAAGGAUACAACCUUAACAGGAGAAUAAAGAUCAUAGUUCGCAAGACAAAUUGUUUAGGUGGGCCUAAGAGCAGCCACCCUGUCAGAAAGCGUUUAAGCUCGUACAAGGAGGACUUAAUUUUCCCGAUAAAAAAUCUUAAUUCCCUAAAGAUACUGGACCGCCCCAUGCCCACAUGGGAGAGAUAAUGCUAAAAUGAGUAACAAGAAGACUAGAACUUCUCCUAGCACAAGUGUAAGUCGGAUCGGACCAACCACCGACAGGCAACGGACCCAAAAGAAGAGGGGAUUGUGAUUUUUAAAAAGAUCAAGAAAACUCCACAACACUUACCGUUAUUCCUACACUGGGGUGCAUCUAAGGAAAGACUAAACGGAAGGGAAGGAACUCGGCAAGCACAAGCCUCGCCUGUUUACCAAAAACAUCGCCUCCUGCAACCAGCAAGUAUAGGAGGUCCAACCUGCCCAGUGACUUAGUUCAACGGCCGCGGUAUUCUGACCGUGCAAAGGUAGCGUAAUCACUCGUCCUUUAAAUAGGGACAAGUAUGAAAGGUUAAACGAGGGCUUAACUGUCUCCCCCUCCAAGUCAGUGAAAUUGAUCUAUCCGUGCAGAAGCGGGUAUAACUAUACAAGACGAGAAGACCCUUUGGAGCUUUAGGUACAAGACUUAACCACGUUUUAGUAAGUUAAUAAAAACAUAAAUUUGUGGAAACUAGAACUUUACCUUCGGUUGGGGCGACCAUGGAGCAAAACCAAACCUCCAAGUGGACAGGGAAUCCCCUAGAACUAAGAUACCCAUCUCUAGGUCACAGAAAUUCUGACCAAAAAUGAUCCGGACAUAAGACCGAUCAACGAAACAAGUUACCCCAGGGAUAACAGCGCAAUCCUCUCCCAGAGCCCAUAUCGACGAGAGGGUUUACGACCUCGAUGUUGGAUCAGGACAUCCUAAUGGUGCAGCCGCUAUUAAGGGUUCGUUUGUUCAACGAUUAAAGUCCUACGUGAUCUGAGUUCAGACCGGAGUAAUCCAGGUCAGUUUCUAUCUGUAGAGCUACUUCUUCCCAGUACGAAAGGACAGGAAAGAGGGGGCCCAUGCCCGAGAUACGCCCCACCCCAAACUGAUGAAUACAAAUAAAUUAGAUAAAGGGGAGCUCUAAAUUUAUCUCUAAAUAAGAGAU
rnacentral:rRNA from 1 species